rnacentral:tRNA from 4 species
GGGUCGUUAGCUCAGUUGGUAGAGCAGUUGACUUUUAAUCAAUUGGUCGCAGGUUCGAAUCCAGCACGACCCACCA